GAUGAACGCUGGCGGCGUGCCUAAUACAUGCAAGUCGAGCGAACGGACGAGAAGCUUGCUUCUCUGAUGUUAGCGGCGGACGGGUGAGUAACACGUGGAUAACCUACCUAUAAGACUGGGAUAACUUCGGGAAACCGGAGCUAAUACCGGAUAAUAUUUUGAACCGCAUGGUUCAAAAGUGAAAGACGGUCUUGCUGUCACUUAUAGAUGGAUCCGCGCUGCAUUAGCUAGUUGGUAAGGUAACGGCUUACCAAGGCAACGAUGCAUAGCCGACCUGAGAGGGUGAUCGGCCACACUGGAACGUAGACACGGUCCAGACUCCUACGGGAGGCAGCAGUAGGGAAUCGUCCGCAAUGGGCGAAAGCCUGACGGAGCAACGCCGCGUGAGUGAUGAAGGUCUUGGGAUCGUAAAACUCUGUUACUAGGGAAGAACAUAUGUGUAAGUAACUGUGCACAUCUUGACGGUACCUAAUCAGAAAGCCACGGCUAACUACGUG
rnacentral:rRNA from 1 species